rnacentral:rRNA from 1 species
AGCGAACGCUGGCGGCAGGCCUAACACAUGCAAGUCGAACGAACCUUUCGGGGUUAGUGGCGGACGGGUGAGUAACACGUGGGAACGUGCCUUUAGGUUCGGAAUAACUCAGGGAAACUUGUGCUAAUACCGAAUGUGCUCUUCGGGGGAAAGAUUUAUCGCCUUUAGAGCGGCCCGCGUCUGAUUAGCUAGUUGGUUGAGGUAAUGGCUCACCAAGGCGACGAUCAGUAGCUGGUCUGAGAUGAUGAUCAGCCACAUUGGGACUGAGACACGGCCCAAACUCCUACGGGAGGCAGCAGUGGGGAAUCUUGCGCAAUGGGCGAAAGCCUGACGCAGCCAUGCCGCGUGAAUGAUGAAGGUCUUAGGAUUGUAAAAUUCUUUCACCGGGGACGAUAAUGACGGUACCCGGAGAAGAAGCCCCGGCUAACUUCGUG